GGGGCUAUAGCUCAGUUGGUAGAGUGCUUGUCUCUCAUGCACAAGGCCCUGGGUUAAAUCCCCAGCACCCCCU
rfam:Ictidomys tridecemlineatus contig002329, whole genome shotgun sequence.